rnacentral:pre_miRNA from 1 species
UACCAGACGGGAGGCCCGGAUCACGUGCGCCGAUCGGCUCACGUGAUCCGGGCCUCCUGUCCGGUG